GACGAACGCUGGCGGCGUGCUUAACACAUGCAAGUCGAACGGAAAGGCCCUGCUUUUGUGGGGUGCUCGAGUGGCGAACGGGUGAGUAACACGUGAGUAACCUGCCCUUGACUUUGGGAUAACUUCAGGAAACUGGGGCUAAUACCGGAUAGGAGCUCCUGCUGCAUGGUGGGGGUUGGAAAGUUUCGGCGGUUGGGGAUGGACUCGCGGCUUAUCAGCUUGUUGGGGGGGUAGUGGCUUACCAAGGCUUUGACGGGUAGCCGGCCUGAGAGGGUGACCGGCCACAUUGGGACUGAGAUACGGCCCAGACUCCUACGGGAGGCAGCAGUGGGGAAUAUUGCACCAUGGGCGGAAGCCUGAUGCAGCAACGCCGCGUGCGGGAUGACGGCCUUCGGGUUGUAAACCGCUUUCGCCUGUGACGAAGCGUGAGUGACGGUAAUGGGUAAAGAAGCACCGGCUAACUACGUG
rnacentral:rRNA from 1 species